GGGGAAUAUUGGACAAUGGGGGAAACCCUGAUCCAGCGAUGCCGCGUGAGUGAAGAAGGCCUUCGGGUCGUAAAGCUCUUUAGGUUGGGAAGAAGGUUGUAGGGGUAAUAUCCUUGCAAUUUGACGGUACCGACAGAAUAAGCACCGGCAAACUCUGUGCCAGCAGCCGCGGUAAUACAGAGGGUGCGAGCGUUAAUCGGAUUUACUGGGCGUAAAGGGUGCGUAGGCGGCUCUAUGAGUGUGAUGUGAAAGCCCUGGGCUCAACCUAGGAAGUGCAUCGCAAACGAUAGAGCUGGAGUAUGUGAGAGGGUGGCGGAAUUACCGGUGUAGCGGUGAAAUGCGUAGAUAUCGGAAGGAACGUCGAUGGCGAAGGCAGCCACCUGGCACAAUACUGACGCUGAGGCACGAAAGCGUGGGGAUCAAA
rnacentral:rRNA from 1 species